GACGUAGGUGGCGAACGUUAUCCGGAAUUAUUGGGCGUAAAGGGUGCGUAGGCGGCAUGAUAAGUUAUUGGCGGCAAAUCGAGGCUCAACCUCGUGGAAACUGAUAAUACUGUCUUGCUUGAGUGCAGAAGAGGUUAACGGAACUCCAUGUGGAGCGGUAAAAAUGUGUAGAUAUAUGGAAGAACAUCAAUAACGGCGAAGGCAGUUAACUAUUCUGUUACUGACGUUGAGGCACGAAAAGCGUGGGGGAGCAAAAAAGG
rnacentral:rRNA from 1 species